AAAAACAUGGUCUUUUGUCUUAAAUAAAAGAUCUGGCCUGCCCAAUGAUUGUUUUAAUGGCUGCAGUAUAUUGACUGUACAAAGGUAGCAUAAUCAUUUGUCUUUUAAUUGAAGUCUGGAAUGAAUGGUUGGAUGAAAAAUUAGCUUUCUUUAUUUUAUAUAUAAAAUUUAAUUUCUGAAUUAAAAAGUUUAGAUGUUAAUAUAGGACGAGAAGACCCUAUAGAAUUUUAUUUCUCUUAUAUUAAUUAUUCUUUUUGUAAAUUAUUUUUUUUAUUUUAUGGGGAAUUUUGUUGGGGUGAUAAAAAAAACUUAAUAACUUUUUUUCUUUUUUUCAUUUAUAUUUGUGAUUUUUUGAUCCUUUAUUAUGGAUAUAAGAUUAAAUUACCUUAGGGAUAACAGCGUUAUUAUUUUAGAGAGUUCAUAUUGAUAAAAUAGUUUGCGACCUCGAUGUUGGAUUAAAAUUAGUUUCAGGAGUAUAAGAUUGGGUGACUAGGUCUGUUCGACCUUUAAAUUUUUACAUGAUCU
rnacentral:rRNA from 1 species